GGAGAAGUGAAUAUUAUUGGGUUAGCAGUUAAAUAUAUUAUUCUUUAAAACUAAAAUUUUUGGGUGAAAUUUUAAUUUUAUUUUAACAGAAAGGAUUGAAGCUGUGAAAUUUAUUUUAAAAACAAGGAUUAGAUACCCUUUUAUUUUAAACGUAAAUGCAAACCUGGGUAGUAAUAGUUAUGUACUUGAAACCCAAAGAAUUUGGCGGUAUUUUAUUCCUUUUAGAGGAACCUGUCCUGUAAUUGAUAGUCCACGAUAGAUAAAUACUUGUUUUUGUAUUCAUUUUGUAUACCUCCGUCAUCAGAGUAUCUUUUUAGAGAUAAUAUUCAAAUAAUAUAAAAUAUAAUAUGUCAGGUCAAGGUGCAAUUUAUGAACAAGGAGAGAUGGGUUACAAUAAAUUUAUUUAUACGGAUUAAUAAGGUUAAAAAUUAUUAUGAAGGAGGAUUUAAAAGUAAAAUUAAUACUUUAUUAUUUUGAUUUUGGCUCUAAAAUAUGCACACAUCGCCCGUCGCUCUUAUUUUAAGAUAAGAUAAGUCGUAACAUAGUAGGUGUACUGGAAAGUGUACCUAGGAAGUA
rnacentral:rRNA from 1 species